UACGGAGGGUGCAAGCGUUGCUCGGAAUUAUUGGGCGUAAAGGGUAGGUAGGUGGUCUCAUUUGUCUGAGGUGAAAGCCUUGGGCUUAACUCAAGAAGUGCCUCAGAAACGGUGAGACUAGAGUCCUGGAGAGGGUCGUGGAAUUCCCGGUGUAGCGGUGAAAUGCGUAGAGAUCGGGAGGAACACCAGAGGCGAAGGCGGCGACCUGGACAGGCACUGACACUCAACCACGAAAGCGUGGGGAGCAAACAGG
rnacentral:rRNA from 1 species